AAGAGCAUGAUGUAGCGGUAGCAUCCCAAUCUUCAAAAUUGUGUAGGGCUAGUUCAAAUCUGGCUGCUCUUG
rnacentral:tRNA from 1 species